CGGACAAAAAAUUGCAAGGGAGAAAAACAUCAUUGGUUGCUUUUAAAAGCAAUAAUUAAAGGCAUCCAACAUUUAAAUUGACAAAAUAAAUAACAAUAUUAACCCCUUAAGGACACAUGACGGAAAUAUUCCAUCAUGAUUCCCUUUUAUUUCUGAAGUUGUGUCCUUAAGGGGUUAAUACUGAAUAACUGUUGACUAGCGUGGCCGCAUUGAGGCCUAACUGUGUGCCUCAGACCACAAGAGGAUCGCACGUCGUUCUUCAGUCAUGUUCCCAUUCCGCCCAAGCAGAGACAUACUGGACCUCAGGGGAUAUUUUCUGCCACAGCACCUUACCAAAAUACUCUUAAAGAGAACCCUAAGAGGUCAAUACCUAGAGGGUAAACAGUCCAACCGAUACCUGUCGAUACUCCCAUCCUCCAUCUCUGCACCAUGUCGCAAGAGAGGGAAAAAGGACAAAACUCUCACUCAACAGAACAUUGGAGCUGCUUAUCCAAAAUAACUAAUAAACACCACAGAAAAGUUAAAAAACAAAACCAGGCAGAGUGGUGAGCUUGACUAAGCAAGCCUUAUGCAAGCAACUAACCAUCCCUACUAAGAAGAGGGAAAACUCAAUCAAUCCCACAACCGAAACCAGGACAGGAAAAACCUGCAAAGGAUAAAGGAGAGAGAGACUGGAAGGCUGAAUGGGCCCCCAAAAAGGUCUGAUGAGGCCCUCCCCUGCUGCCACACAAAGUAACCAUUUAGUUGUACUUCCCUCCAAGGAGACCACCCCUUAAUUUGUUACGUGCUCACUAGGGGAUUCUCCACUCAUAUUAUGACUAAAUUUCUCCCUGUUACAUGAGUAAUACGUAUUUUAUUGAUGGAAGCAGUAGUGUUACUUUAACCAUAUGAAAAACAUUAUUUUGUAGACUGUGCAAACAUUCCUCAGGCCUGCCAUCUUACCUUUCCCACAAUGACUGCAUACAAUUUAACCUAUUGAACAUUACUUUCAUUUGUGUUGUCUGCCCAUCUGGUGUUUAAAUAGUUAACCCCUUAAGGACACAUGACAGAAUAUUCCGUCAUGAUUCCCUUUUAUUCCAGAAGUUGAGUCCUUAAGUGGUUAAAAGAAGUUUCACUAUGCCACAUAUUUAUAAUAGGUAUGCUGAAUUU